CCCUCCGCCAUCCUCGCGCGCCUCAGCGCCGCCGCCUCGCCUCACUCCCCCCCCCAGCCAUGCUGCCUCGCCUCGCGCGGCUCAGCCCCGCCGUCGCCUCGCCCGCAGCGCCCCCAGCCCCGCCGCCAGGAGGUCGGCGCGGAGAACCGCACGAGCGCCGACCGCCACAUCGAGCCGUCGUGAUCCCCUCCGUCCCCUCCCCUUUUUGCUGGUCACCGGAGCAGAAGGCGUCGUCAUCCACAUCGCAGCGGAGAGCGAUCCCCCGAGAAGGAUUCCAUGGCGCCGCCGUCAUCGUCGUCCUCGGCGAGGACGCCAAUCCGAGGUGAGCUGCUUCAGAUCCUUCUGCAGGUCAUCGUCUUCCUGGCUGUCCGCGCGUGGGCCGUACCGCUCCGCCUCUGCUUCGUUGGGCAGGACUGCAAUAUUCUCUAUUCCCCACUGCUCUCUCUCUCCCCGCCGUCGUGCUCGUGUUGCUCCUGCACGAGCGCGUGCUGCAGAAAAGAUGGGGCCGCCAACACAGCUGACCUGACAUGGAACGCAGAUCUGCUUAUCUAUGCCAACAUAAUGUUUGACAAAAGUCCAAGAAGUUUAUUCGCCCUUUUGAUCUCUUGAUUGGGCACGGAUGAAGAGUUUUUGGAUGCAGUAAAGAUGCAGGUUUAUUUUGUUUUCAUUAUUUCUUACAUGUUACGAAUUUUGCCUUAAAGCUAGCUGUAGUUGAUAGUGGCUUAAGACUUCAGUGUGGACGUGAUCUUCUCACAAUUAUGUAGAUUGCUUACUGUUAUUUUCCAUUGUCUGCCUAUUUUGACUGACCCAAACGGACACAUGGAUUUGAGGUUAUCAUGCAAAUCAGUUGGUGCAAGGUGAGGAUUACAUGUUUAUGGCAUGCCCUAAAUGUGUGACGAUGGUCUAAACUGAAUCUACAUAUGGCUCUUUGGAUAUUUAUGUUGAUCAGAGUUGAAGAACCAAAACUGAGUUAUUUGGACUAUAUCAUGUCUUUGAUUUCGGAAUAAAUAAGUUAUGUUUGCCUAACACAGCUCUCUGUUAAGAUAUUUUGUGUAUUGUUGUCAUAUGAUAUGCAUUAUAUGAUUUUGAUCUCUCUCACACGCGCUAAAAUCUUGUGUGUCUGCUGACCGGCACCUUUUUGUUGCUGCAGUGGCUUCAAAAGGGGCGGUGGGGGACAAGACCAUGGCUUGUGUGGUAAAUGGGUAGGCUGGCAAUGUUAGUGUGGUUGAUCCUGCCGCAGAGGACUUCGUGGCGGCAUUGGAUAGUUCCAAGGCGCACAUGGUGAUGUCGGACGGUGACCUGAAGCCUCGAAUUUAUGUCAACAUGAGAAAGACUGCUCAGGACAGAUGCCGCUCUCGCUCAACCUCUAUGUGCAGUUCAAUUCCAACUCUGUUAUUUGCAUCUCCUGACUCUCUGAUCAACAGAUAUUCGAGCACGUGAAUACCGUUUCCUGGUUUUGACUUCCAUUCUACCAAGCUUAUUACCAUAUCCGAUUUUUUUGGUUCAAGUGCGGCGGUUUAUUCUACAUUUUCAAUGAAUAUUUAGUUAUUUUAUAAGUAUAAUUAAUUGUUGCUGGAUAGUGGUUCUGCAGUGCACCUCGAUUAAUAGGUAGAAUUUUUUAGAAUUUAUUAGCAUGUUUUCUAAUGGAUGGUUGAAGCACAUCUUCAAUCAAUUAUUUCAUGCGCUGCCAACCUAAUAUAUUUUCUCUUUGUGGAAUGUUGUGUGGAAAAGUUGGAUUUCCAGUAGUAUUUGUUUUUGAGUAAUCUUUGACAUGGCAUAAUUUUUAGUAGCACACAAACCACACGAAAGGCACACAUGCUCUAGCCAUACCUAAUCGGUAAUAAAUUGUCACACGAGAUGAGGAUUUACUCCUACCCUGUGCUCGACAUUGAAAUAUGGAAAUUCCUAUUUUUUGUAAGCACAGGCCCAGUGAUUUAUGUUGAUGCAUUGAUCGUAUUAUUUUUAUUUGUCCCGUUCCUAAAUUAUCCAGUUAA